CUCUCUACUGUCGGUUUCUCAAAAUUGAAGAAUAAGGCGAUCUACAGACAGCCGACCUUAGUUUGAUGCUCAUCGGUAAAUCACCUAUUGUAACCAAUGACUUUCUUUCUUUCAAUGAGAUAGAACGUGUUGUGAUGACUUCAAAGAGAGUAAAAACGGAUUCAAAGUUUAAGCCGUAAAAAUUCUGAUGGACACCGAAACUUGAAAGAUUUUAUAUACACGUAAGGAAAAUCAUAUAAGGAGAUUCAGAUGCAAUGAGACCGUUUUUAGCGUAUAUCAGGCCAUAUUGGGAACAUGAAGUAUGUGCUUAAGAGCAGCUUGAUGAAGUAACCUCUGUUUGGUUGGGAGUUUCACCUCUUUGAGUUUAUCCCCGUUGAGCGGAGAUGGGAAGUUGAUGACGCGAACUUGAGGCAGAUAGUUUCGAGUUUAAAGGAUCCAAGAGAUGCUUUGUGGCUUGAUAUUUUCCCUGAAGGCAGAGAUUACAUAGAGGCUAAAUGCCAAAGCUGAACAUGGCUUACCAGUUCUGAACAACCUCCUAUUGUCUUCCAAGAACUAAGCUGUUAACUCGAUGAAGUUUAUGAUGUGAUCAAAGUAUGCAUAAGACUCGUUACUGAACGCGUUCCAGCUAAAAGACCAACUUCUUAGUGAGUUAUACCCUCGCGGCCAUUUCCCUAACGAAGGAACAGAAAAGGAGUUCAACACAAUGAAGUGCCUCAUAAACUGCUCGGCAGUGAUUGUCUUCACAGUCGACAUGUUUUUGUGCAGAGCAAUGUAUAUCAGGUAACAUAUUACUUCUCAAAUAGUUUUUGUAUAGAGUAAUGUAUAGUUCGUUAGGAAUUGAACUGAUUCUGGAUAGAUAUGGAAAUUGGGACAUCUUGCUAAUUGACGAUUAGUUUUCACUGAUUAUUAUAUAACAUCUGCUUUUAUAAUAAAAUAUAGAAUGCGAUAUAAAUAUUUUGAAUCCAUAAGGAACUUUUACUAAAGCUCCAACUGUUUGAGCGUAAUCACACACGCAUAUGGUGUGGAAUAAAACACAUGUCCGUGAAAUAAAAACAAACUUAGUGUGAAAUAGAAAAUCAUACUCAGAGAUUUUGAAAAAUCUAGAAGGGCUUUGGCAUUUUUUCCCAAUUUGACAGUGAAGUUUCAUUACUUUUCAAUAUUUUCUCGAUCUCCAAUAGGGCUCCUUUUUUCUCAGCAUCGCUUAGACAUAAUCCUCAACAAAUAAAUGAUGUCGGUUAAACUUUAGAUUUCUGUUAUGUAACGAAAGCAUGUAAAUUAGCGGGUAAAGUGAUCAAGACGAGGAAAAAUAAUUAACCUGGCCUUUUAAAAUGUUUCCUCUGCCUAUAUUGUAUAUCUUCUGAAAGGAACUCCCAUGUAUUUUCCCAAACCUUUUCUGGCAUUGAUAAAGUCAUGGACAUGAGCAUGACAGCAAAGUCAUGUCGUAGAAAGGAUGCAGUUCCCGUAUAGCUCGACCUGAUAAUAUCAUCAAUGUAUUCUUGAUCAUCUUCUAAUAGACCACGAGAAAAACAUGUUUCCUUGUACGAAGGGUAUAGCACACGUUUAUAGGUCUUUAUGUCUUCAAAGCAUGUUGGUCCACGAACAAUAUUCAGCAACACAGGUAGAUGAUAUGCUUCCUCAUACUUCUUUGGGGCAUAAUUAAUUCUUCCAAUGCUGAAACCUCUUUUUCUUUCUUGCAGUUUUCUCUCUUUUUUGUUCCAUAUAAACCUUGUUGGAAUUUCAGCUAAAGUUAGCUUUUUAGCAACUGCGCUAACCUUAUUCAGCUCAAACCAGGCAAGGAGAUAAGUAUUCUGAAUCAGCAUCCGGCUUGUUACUUCCUCAUAUAUGUCGUCGUCCUUGAAGAUAAUUAUCUACUUCCUUGUAACCCAUACUUGUCGCAACUACAUAUGGAGUUUGUGAAAGCUUUCCAAAUCUGGGAGAAGAUAUAUGUGGCAUUUGAACCGCUUGUGAGCCAUAUCCACCACUCUGAGGUCUGUCACAACUCUGAGGUACAUAUAGAUGAAGAAUGCGAGCUGUGUAAUAAAAAAAAAGACAAUAGGAGAAUACUCAUACUCUUCACGUGAGGGCGCAUCUUUGAAGUCGAGGUGUUAUAUGGAAUAUCAACAAUUUCGUCCACUGAUCGCUUAGAAGGAGUUGCCAUCUUGCUAGAGCUUACAUCACUGUAAGUCAAUAGAGACACCUAGAGUGUAUACAUAUAUUAGGUGUAUAACUUGAAAUAAAUACAAUCAAAAGUAUGACAAUAUGAACAUCAAUACUAUCUACUGCAUACAAAACAGAUCAAUAAAAUCGAGAAAUACCUCUGAUGCUGAGUUUGCUGUUAUUCCCUUUCCAGACAUAGAUUCCGAUUGGGAAUCAACCAUGAGUGUGUUGUAAACUGACCAGGCUAUAAGUACCUUAAAAGUCUCAGAUCCUUUUUCGAUGGUAACCCCAAAAUUAUAAGUCUUCCCCACAAUUUCAUUAAUACAGUCAAGCAACAUCUCAGGAUCUUCAACCUAAAUCAAACUAUAACAAAUCUUUUGGUAAAGGUUGACAAAUUCAAUAACAUAUUAAGUGCAUUUAUGGCAGUAAAAUACCUCAUCCAAAGAACCAUUGAGAAUUUUUUCAGCUUUUACUUCGAUAACUGGCCAUGCAACCCAAUCAAGAAGCACAAAUUUUGCUUUAGCUGUAUCAUCCUUAGCCAUCAGAUGGAGCUUAUAUCUAAUAUUAAAAUCACAAUAACAAAAUAAGAUCAAGAAAUCUUAAUGAUUGUUCGUUAGAUAACUUAAAGAAGACAAAAUUUUACCUUGGUUUAACAUUCAUCACAUUCUCUUUGCAGUUUUCACACCAAACAAAGGCUUGUUUACGCCAGAAAGAUUUAUAUCUUCAACGGGGACUUUAUAAAUCCUGGUUUGACACAAAUCACAUCCAAAAUAAUACCAUGCAUAAUCAGUAUCUAUAGCACAGAUUGUAGCAACAACCUUGCACUUAUCACCCAACGCUUCCACAUUUACUGUUUACUAGGUUAGCUUGCGUUAUUCUGGUCUUGCAUGUUUCGAGUUGAGCUAUAAUGACUCAACCAGGUGUCUGUUUUCUUAUAUAUGCUAUCGAUGUACACGUAUGUGCGAGUGUUUUUCUUAUUGGUCGCUAUUGCGAGCAUAGGUACUUACGUUAUUGUUUGAUUGAACAUAGUAACCCUAUGCUUAAUAAUGAAUAGGACUAGACAUGUAUUGUUUGAAAAUUGCGGAAGACUAAUAAUUGUUGGAGUCUGACUCAGCGGGGCAGAGGUGAGUUCCUACAUGUUGGAGUCUGGCCUAUGGCUUAGCGGGGCAGAGGUGAGUUCAUGCACGUUAGAGUUUUGGUGGGGAUACGGUGGCUGAGUCGAUCCACGUCGUAUCCCAGCGAUCGACAAGGGUCUACGGGCGGUGACUAUAGGCACUUAACCUAUAUAACUAAGCUUAACGGGGCAGAAGUGAGUUCCUGCACAUUGUGACUGGCCGGGGCUUCGAGGGUACAGAGCUGGGCUCUUGUAUUUUGAGUCAUUGCUUGUUUCUUAGAGAUGUCGUGUUUGUGGUUUGUCUAGGCCUAAAUUUACGAUGAUGGGUUAGUAUUCAGUCGAGUUUAGGUUUUGGUUUGGUCUUCACUGAACGGCCUGUUUGAAAAGUUGUUCAUUCCUUUUUUUUUCUCUUUCCCUUUGAUUUUUGUCAAGCAGAUUCCAGCCUAGAAAAAGUUGGUUUGAGUUAAAGUUGGCGGUUUUUGCUAAAGACGGUUUGCCCGUACCAGAUUUAGCUAAACCCGGAACCCUCUGGAACCGGGUGUCACGAUCACUCUAAAAAAUAGCUAGUGGCUCGGCUCUUCUAGCUUUUAUAAUUCCACGACAUAAGUUAACGUACGACUGUUAAAAAAAAAAGAAAUUAACGUACGACUUCUCACGACGUCUAAGAAACAAAAAGUUGAGAAAGACAUUAACUGGUUCUGUCCAAACCGUCCACCGCUUUCACGUGUGGUUUCCACACUACCUCUCAUAUCUCAUGCUUAAAUGGAGAUAUUGAAAAAACCUUCGCUUUGAGAAAAUCACUGGACCAUGAGCUUAAUUAUCAAAAUAAUUAUCACAAAUGUACAGUCAACUAAAUAAUGAUGCUAAAGAUUGAAUUAAACACCAAGCUGGAGUAAAUAACUCAAAAAUAUGACUAAUUCAUUUAUGUGGCACUAGUAACUUCACAAAUUAAGUAACUCUUGAUCUAGUCCCUUAUAUAUUACAACUUCUUUUCGUAGUUACGUGUUAUCAAUAAGAUCAUUC